GAUGCUAUUUUCUUAGCCUCUAAAAGCAUUGAAUCUGCCUUUCUUUGUUUUUCCUCAGUUUCAGCUUUUUUUUCCUUUACUUCUUCUGCUAAAAGGUCUGAAAAAUUCUUCCCCAUCUCUUCACUCACCUCUUAGUCAUGCCUCAUGCAAUCUACAACAUAUAUAUGUUAAUAUGUAAAUUCUGGAACUGUAUAGGAUCAAAAGUAUCAUAAUUUGGAUAUUCAUAGUAUUAUCCUUGAAAAAUAUAUGUUGGCACCACCUUAUCAGACUAAAAUGUUAACAUCAUCUUACCCUUUUAACUGCAUGAACAUAGUUAAUUAUAACACAUAUAUGGUCACAGUUAAAUCUCUCCUCCAUUUCAGAAAAAUUGACUAACAACUAUAAGAAAGCGUUAUUCUGCAAGCACAUGUCACUUUUUAAUUGGAAGGACACAUGAUUCUAAUACUCUCCAAAUAUUCUAUUAUGUCUUUGCUUCUGCUUCCACCACCAAUGUUAACAUCUUUUCUUUUAGUGGAAAGUGCAAGUUAGUAAUUUAUCUUUUAUCAAGUCUCCAAACCCCAAAAUUGCAGCAUGAUCCAACAUGGGUUUUUUAAAGGGUUUUUCUACUUAUUUCUUCUUUUAGUAGUUAUAAUAUUAAUUGUUAGAUAAAUUUGUAUUUUUUCUUAGUCAAAAGAAUGGUUAGUAGAUAAUAGUUCAAAAUGUGUAACUUUACGCUUUCUAAGCAUAGGAUUUAAGAACUUGAAACCUAAGUUGGGAUUGUUUUCAAAAACUAACACGUAAAAUCAUUAUAAAAUUAAUAUGUGAUAAAGGUAGUUAUAGCAUUACGAAUAUAAUAAUAAUUCCCAUGAUGACUUUUGUAAUCGUGGAUUCUAGUUUUACAGUGGGUGCUGGUGCUAAAAUAGUUUUAGAAGGUUGAAAUAAUUUUCUAAAUCAUAGUCAGCUUUUCCAGUAUGUAGGCAAUUUAUACUCUUGUUACUUAAGGUCGAGUAUUCAGCUUCUGUUUAAUCUAGCUAGUAGUAUUAAUAAUAUGUUUUGGUAUUUAGAGAAUAAUUCGUUGUGGUGGAGUUAUUGAUGAUGAUAUGGCAAACAUCAUAGUUGUUCAGCUUUUGUACCUUGAUGUUGUUGAUCCUAACAAGAUUUGUUCUUCGACAUUGAAAACUCAUAGUGUAUCUUCUUAAUCUUUCUCCAUAUAAAGUGUUUUGUUGAAUGUUUGAACUGAUGUUAAAUGAUUAUAGUUUGGUAUUUCUUCGUUCAGUUGUUAUUAUUGUCCAACAUAUUAUAAAUCGCAUUCUAGGAAUUGAGCUAGGAUGUGAGACUCCCCUACAUGUACAAGGACGAAGGAGAGACAGUGAUUGAACUCGGGGAUAUUUCACAAUAAUCAAGACAAUUUUUUCAUAAUUAAUUAGGAGGUGUGGUGUAUAAUGUAAUGUCUUGUGAUGUGUUUGGUCUUCCACUCUUUUAUGUUCUGUUGUUCCAAAAUAUCCAUGUGAUGAUGGCCAAUACUUGUUGCUAGUUGCAGAAGUAUUAAUUUAGUUUCUUUAUUGAUAGGUGAUAGGUACUAGUUUUAAUAGUAUUGGUUAUAACGUAAAUUUUGAGAUGAAAUUGAGAUGUUUAAAUCA